UACAGAGGGUGCGAGCGUUAAUCGGAAUUACUGGGCGUAAAGCGCGCGUAGGCGGCUUUUCAAGUCGAUUGUGAAAUCCCCGGGCUUAACCUGGGAACUGCAGUCGAGACUGUCUAGCUAGAGUAUGGGAGAGGGAAGUGGAAUUUCAGGUGUAGUGGUGAAAUGCGUAGAUAUCGGGAGGAACACCAGUGGCGAAGGCGACUACCUGGCCUGUUCUUGACGCUGAGGCGCGAAAGCUAGGGGAGCAAACGGG
rnacentral:rRNA from 1 species